UCAAGUCAGCGGCCGUUCCUCCCUCCGCUAGAAUAAGAAAUUAGUCCAUUUUAAAGUAAAUAACUAAACCCCGGAGCCGAUAAGGCAGCGUUAUAAAAUACUGUGCCGUUGCGAUUUUACGGAGAGAAUGGACUUAGGAUAAAGACACAAUGAAUGUGAAUGUUUCUGUCCCAUCGUAUUAUGGAAAUGUGAGAUCUAAAUAUCUCGGAUCACAAAUGGAGGAGGAACAAUAGAUACUACAGCUUGGUCAAAACAAAUAGGCAUACAUUGUCAACAUCACCAGUCAGCAACCAUCAUCCCUUCUCCAGCCCGUAAUGGAGAUCAUAUGUUUAGCUGGUGCUGAAACCCAACACGAGACCUCCACAUCAAAACCGCCUGCUGCCCGGAGAGGAGCCUGCAGGAUCUUUCCCGCUUCAGGGGAAUGAAAACAUAUUUUCAUAGGCCUAGAAAACAGGCCGUAAAAGUGGAGGGGGCCCCCUAUGUCCCUCAAAAAAAAAAAUUGUGAUGAGGCUGAGAUGAGUUCUCUUUUGAGGAGUUGGCUCCGUGUCGAAGAGGCUCUGUUCCAUCUACCUACAUCACCGAAAUGGCAUGCGUGGUCCACCACAAUGUGGUUAGGCUUUUUUCAUGCGCAGAAAGACUUUUUCUUGUUGCCCUUAGCAAUACCUGCUUUUGAUUAGUUUGUAACGACGUGCAUUCGGUUGAGCGAAGCCUCUCUCGUAGACAUGUGCAGUUCUGUGCUAUGAUUCAUGCGAUUCAUAUUUACUCAGAUUCAUAUUCAGAGAUAUAGAUUUUUUUCUUUAAUUUCUUAGAAUGCACAUUUGUGGUCUUAUUGUGCAUGUUAUUAAAAAAUGGCUUGUCUUUGUAAUCUUUCGUCAAAUGGUGUAUUAAUUACUUGCGCCGGCUCUGGAGCGUCUUUCCUUUUUCCACUGACAUCAUGUUGGCCACAAUGGGUAUCGGUCAAUGUUAACACACAGCCGAAUAGAUAUUUAGGUGUUGUUAUAUGGUACAAUGGUGUUGUAUGUAAUGUGACCGGUGUGAUAUUAGUUUGCACAUUGGUUAAAUGCCAGUUAAACUUAAAGUAGUAGUUCACCCUAAAAUGAAAAUUCUGUCAUCAUUUAUUCACCCUCUCCUCAUUUCAAACCUGUAUGACUUUCUUUCUUCCGCAGAACACAAAAGAAGAUAUUUUUAAGAAUGUUGGUAACCAAACAGCACUGGCACCCAUUCAUUUCUAUUGUAUGGACACAAAACCAAUGCAAGUGAAUGGGUGCCCGUUAACAACAUUCUUCAAAAUAUCUUUUUACAAAAAACUAGUAAUGAGCCGUUUGGGAUCAAAACAGAGGGAUGAAUAAAUCAGUAGACUCUUCCGUUUAAUCGUCAAGUUAAAACAUACAUGAAAACAAAUCACACCGGAAGCCAUCAGAAACUCAACAUUUUUCUAAACGUGUGUGUGUAAAUAGCAAUACUUGAAUAAAUAGACGAUGAGAUGUUUUUCCAAAAAAGGGUUUUGUGAGUUUAAUUCAGUAGGAACAAGAGGGAUGGUGACCUGUUAUGUCUUCCUGUGUGCUGUCGUCUUUGUUGUGAUUCGGUGACAUCAUCCACUCUAAUGUCAGCCUGCAAAAAAUCUCUGCGACUGCAAAAAGCCAUAAACACUGAAGAUUAGGUCAGAGCUGCUUUCAUAACCACUUUUGUGACCUCUUUAUUCCUUCUCUUGCUGAGUCUCUCUUUGUCUCGCUCUGUCUUGGUGUACUCCCAUAGCACCUGACCUGACUCUUAAAAACUGCUCUUUUGCAAGGUCAAGUUUCCAUGUCUCUUGCUCGUAAUUUCAGUAUUCUCAUUUAUAAGAUCUCUUUUUCACAUCUUCCUGAUGUGAAUGUUUACCUAGUUAGGCAUGAAUAAAAGGAACAGUACUCUCUAAAAUAAAAAAAACAUACCUUCACGUAUUUCCAAACCUGCAUGAUGUAAUCUCUUCUGUGUAACUAAGAUGUAGAUGCUUUAAAGACUGUGCAUACAAUGUUCUCAUGCAGUGAUCU